GCUGCAUGGCUGUCGUCAGCUCGUGUCGUGAGAUGUGGUUAAGUCCGCAACGAGCGCAACCCUUGUUCAUUAGUUGCUACAUUCAGUUGGGCACUCUAAUGAGACUGCCGGUGACAAGCCGGAGGAAGGUGGGGAUGACGUCAAGUCCUCAUGGCCCUUAUAGGUGGGGCUACACACGUCAUACAAUGGCUGGUACAAAGGGUUGCCAACCCGCGAGGGGGAGCCAAUCCCAUAAAGCCAGUCGUAGUCCGGAUCGUAGUCUGCAACUCGACUACGUGAAGUCGGAAUCGCUAGUAAUCGUGGAUCAGAAUGUCACGGUGAAUACGUUCCCGGGUCUU
rnacentral:rRNA from 1 species